AUGUUUCUGUUGAUACCUGUUCCGGUAUUAUACACGCUACUCUGAUGACUGGUGAAAAGGCUUGUAAUGCCAUAAGUCAUUGCUUAGAGGCAUGGGCAGCCUGGGGAAAGCCUGAUAGUCUCAAGAAAGACAAUGGGCCUGCCUACACUGCAAAGUUCUUUCAGGCAUUUUGCCAGACAAUACAGGUCGGUCAUACUACAGGCUUACCAUACAAUCCCCAAGGUCAAGGAAUUGUGGAAAGAGUACAUCGUACCUUAAAAGAGCUUAUACAAAAACAAAAAGAGGGAAUUGCCAGCAGCCGAACACCAAAAGAACAACUUUCUUUAGCUCUUUCUACUCUAAAUUUCUUAAUUCUGGAUGCACAUGGCCGCUCUGCUGCGGAUCACCAUGCUACUACUACACCUAUAACUAAUACAGAAGUAAAGUGGAAAGAUGUCUUAACUGAUGAAUGGCGUGGCCCAGAUCCCGUGAUUUCGAGAUCUAGGGGAGCGAUUUGUGUUUUUCCGCAGAAUCAAGAAAAUCCAAUUUGGGUACCUGAGCGUUUGACUCAAAGAUUGUCUUCUGCUCUUCCUGAAGAUGAGACUAUGAACCCUACUAUUACUACUGGGAAUGGUAAUACAGGUUAAUUCGCUCACCCUGUGGGCUAUUGCCAGAUCCUGGCCAGUACCCAUGCCAGUUCAUAGCAAUUCUACUGUUUUGAGAAUAAGACUGGCAAGCAUAAUCUCUGGCCU
rnacentral:lncRNA from 1 species